UGGGUUUUCACUGAGGUGACAAUAGUGGUGUGACCCCCACCUUCCAGUUUGAGGCUCUACCCAGUAGCUCAAACUUCCUUUCUUUCGCCCCGACUUCACUCCACUUUGUCUUUUCAAAAUGGGGGUGCUUUGUCCACUCCCACUUUGUCAUGACCUCAAGGCCUGUCUUAGGUUGGCUUCCCCAGAAAGCAGACUUUGAGUGCAAAUAACUCAUCAAGUCGGUGCUCCCAGAGGUAACCUUAAGGGAGUAGGGGCAUCAGAACAGGGGAAAUAAGAAGGCCACACAAGGGUGAGGUCUCAGCAGUUCCACAGAGGCCAGCUUUAGACUGACCCUGCAGGGGGACCUGGAGCAUAUGAUUUGUCCCCACCUGAGGGGAAGGGAGCCUGGGGCACAGACAGGUAAGUGAGCAUGGCUCUGUUCACCAUCAUUCCUGGUGAUCUACUUGGGAGAAGUUGUGUUUCCCACUGGCCACAAUUUCCCCGGAUCUGUGGGUCUGGAGACACUAAUUUCCAGAAGAGAGACCACACUUUCAGCAAGAAACAUGGAAAGAGUUCCACUAAACCAAAAUCUCUGUAACCACUUGGUCAUUUGGGGGCCUCACAUACUGGGAAACCAUUGGGCAAAGAAAGGAGCUGCCAUCCUGGCAGGAAUAAUUAAGGGAAGUCUCUGUCCCUCUACCACGGGCCAGGCAGGAGUAGGUGUGGAACUCUGGGCAGCUCCAGGUUACUUCCAUGCCCAGUGUAACUAUGACCUGACAAUUCUAGCAAGCACCGCCAUGGUAACCAGGGACUCAGACUCCUCGAGGAUGAAGGGCCGGGUCACCCUGCCAGGGAACAACCAGUACCAGUGCCACCUAGCCAAAGGUGAGGGGUAGAGGAGGGCUAUGAGAAGAUCAAUUUCUUCUCCAAACCAGCUGUAGCAGCUAAGGCAGGUCCAGAGCCCUGAGGACCAUGCCAGAAGGAACCACAGGGCUCGCUUUGAAGCAAAAGCGUACCAAGGCCUGGGCACACAAGACAUGCCCAGAAACAGCAGUAAGAAAAGGAGAUCUAGAACAGCCAUCUUACAGACGUCAGAAGACGCCACCCCCCUCCCAUCCCCAGUUUCGGUUCUCAUUAGCUGUGUGGCUUUAGGUCAUUUCUUUUUUCUCUAUUGUCCUUGACAUCCUCAUUAAAGGGUCUCAAAGUUC